GGAAAAAAAGGACAUUUAUCUUUGUUCUUCAAUUUUUUAUUUUUGUUUUGGUUAUCGUUUUUCUAAAUCAAUUAAGCUUCUUGUGCAAUAUUGUUCCACACAAAUUACACAUGGACACCUAGCUAUUUUUUUAUUGGCAUUCACAAAAUGGGACUGGAUGUUGGACGGCUUACCAAAGCCUUCCUGCUACCCCAAUCCCUGCUUGGAAACCUGCUGGCCGCGGCAGCACCAUGUUUUCACCACACUCUUCAGCUUCAGCUGUCUUUUUUGCCUCAUGGCUAUACCCACACUGACCACUCCUUCAAUGAAGAGCUGGGAUGCUCGUCUUCUGAUGGAGCGCUCUCGAGCUGUGAUGGGUCCAGAUAUCAGCGCUCACCUGGCUGGUACCAAGAGGUUCAGCAGUGCUCGCCAGACCUGGAGUCCUGGAGAGGUUCUUCCCGGACCAGCCUCAAGCUGUGCAGCAGAUCUGAGUGACAUUGGCUGACCUCUACACUCCAGACAUGGGUGCAGAGAGGGACAAAACAGUAUCAAUGGCCUUGGCAGCAGCAGAACGGUUUGUCUUGAAGCCUCAGCGAGAAGGAGGAGGUACAGC